rnacentral:rRNA from 1 species
UACAGAGACUGCAAGCGUUAUUCGGAUUCACUGGGCGUAAAGGGUGCGCAGGCGGCCUAUUGUGUUAGGCGUGAAAGCCUGAGGCUCAACCUCAGAAUCGCACCUAAAACUACACGGCUAGAGCAUUGGAGAGGGUAGCGGAAUUCACGGUGUAGCAGUGAAAUGCGUAGAUAUCGUGAGGAACACCAGAGGCGAAGGCGGCUACCUGGACAAUUGCUGACGCUGAGGCACGAAAGCGUGGGGAGCAAAAGGG